rnacentral:rRNA from 1 species
GACGAACGCUGGCGGCGUGCCUAAUACAUGCCAGUAGAACGCUGAAGGAGGAGCUUGCUCUUCUGGAUGAGUUGCGAACGGGUGAGUAACGCGUAGGUAACCUGCCUGGUAGCGGGGGAUAACUAUUGGAAACGAUAGCUAAUACCGCAUAAGAGUAGAUGUUGCAUGACAUUUGCUUAAAAGGUGCAAUUGCAUCACUACCAGAUGGACCUGCGUUGUAUUAGCUAGUUGGUGGGGUAACGGCUCACCAAGGCGACGAUACAUAGCCGACCUGAGAGGGUGAGCGGCCACGCUGGGACGGGGACACGGCCCAGACUACUACGGGAGGCAGCAGUAGGGGAUCCUCGGCAAUGGACGGAAGUCUGACCGAGCAACGCCGCGUGAGUGAAGAAGGUUUUCGGAUCGUAAAGCUCUGUUGUAAGAGAAGAACGAGUGUGAGAGUGGAAAGUUCACACUGUGACGGUAUCUGACCAGAAAGGGACGGCUAACUACGUG